AGUCGGUGGCGGGGACGCUGCGGGGAACGAUGUCCGAGAGCGCGGCUGAGAGGGGGAGGAUGGCGGGGCUGCUGCUCCUCUGCGCGGCCUCGGCGCUGCUGCUGGCGGCCGUGGGGGCCAUCCCGCCGCCCGAGGAGGCGGCGCGCAUGGCGCGCUUCGUCCUGCACAGCUGCGACUGGGGCGCGCUGGCCACGCUGUCGGCGCAGGAGGGGCUGCGCGGCCGCCCCUUCGCCAACAUCUUCUCCAUCAGCGACGGGCCUCCCGGGCCCUUCGGCGGCAGCGGCGUCCCCUACCUGUACCUGACGGACAUGGAGAUCUCCGUGCAGGACCUGGAGGUCAAUUCAAAUGCCUCCUUAACUGUGUCUUUGGCACAGACUCCUUACUGCAGGAGGCACAGAUAUGAUCCCCAGAACCCCCUCUGUGCCCACAUAAUCUUCGUUGGGAGCAUUGUGAAGGUGAAUGAUUCAGAAGCAGUCUUGGCAAAAAAAGCAUUAUUCAGUCGCCACCCUGAAAUGGAAAGUUGGCCUAAGGAUCACGAUUGGUUCUUUGCCAAAUUCAACAUCACAAACAUCUGGGUCCUCGACUACUUUGGUGGAUUGAAAAUUGUGACACCAGAAGAAUAUUACAGUGUCAAACCUUAGUAAGUACUGGAGUUUUUCAUGCCUAACCCUCGCUGUAUUUGAAACCUGUAAAACCUCUCCUGAUUGUUAACAGUGGCAGAAGAUCCGUGUGAUGCUGAUGUGGAAAUGAAUUUACUUCGGCUGUUUCAUGAAAAGAUUUAUUUUUCCUGUGUAUUGUAGAGCUGAAUUAAUAACACAGUAAAUCAAACACCUCACAUUGUUAAUGAGCAUGCAUUACCCUUAUAAGGCAGAUUUAACUUCUCACUAACUUGAAUCAUGUCGUGCUCAAAAACCUUUGUGCGUGAGCCAUAACUAAAUUUUAUUAAUUGGAUGUGAUUUUGGAAAGGUGGCUGAUGGUCUGCAUUCAGAAGUAGUGUGUUUACUGGAAUCCAAAGGAUUAGUCCAGUUCUAAAGCUUUCAAUGCCUUAGUUGAAUAAUAUCUGUUUGUGAGCACUCUCCAAUUCCGUUUUAUUUUUAAUAACCAGUUUAGUUUAGAAUUUUAUGGCAAAGUACCACAGGAUGGCUCAGCUGACUUGGCUCAGUGGAAUGGAAAGAACUGCUUGUGUUACGAGGGUAAAUGAUGUGCUGAGUUCCCAAAUCCUGUUAAGAAUUUCCUUUGCACGCUGAUACACUCGCUCGUUUGAGCCAUUUUUUUAUUUUGCUGCCUAUGCUGAAUGUGCUGUAGGAUACAGUUGUAUUUAUGCAAACUGUACAUGUACCUCAGGAUAAGUUCUUGGUACCUCUUCAGUGGUUACAUGCCCUGACCCUUUAAUAGAAGCAGGCUGAUAAUACCUCAAGUAUCUAUCUGACUUGAGUAUAAGAAGUGUAGUGGCUUGUAAAUUCAGUGACACUGUUGUGAAGGAUAAAUGUUUUCUGAUUAGGAUUCUGAAAUCUUCAGCUUCGGCAAGGUGUCAGUUUUUAUUUCCCUCAACAGUAGAACUGAGAAGAUUUUUGGGUUUGGAAGCCUUACACAUCACUUCUGGGUUAGUAACCCAGAAGUGAAAAAUAAGCAAUACAGUAUGACACACAUGAUUCAUGAUUUGUAGAGAAUGAAAAUUAAUGAAAGGUGUGCGUAGUUAUUUCUGUGUUAAAAUAACUUGCACACAACCACAAAAAAACCCCAAAUUAACACCUUUUUACGUUCUUUCUCAUCUGCUGUGUGCUAAGUUCACAAACACUAAAAACUAUUUAUGAACAACUAAGUUGGUUUUACAAUGAGCAAAUAUUAGUUGACUUAGAAUGUGAGAAUUUAGACACCUUAAAGGCAGAUUCUUAUACAGAACAGUGGGAUUUCUCAUAUAAAAUCCCUACAUCUUAAUGUUGUUGUUAUAUCACUCCUUUUCUCAAAUACUGGAAUGAUUUGUGAAAAUAUUUGUUAUGUGACUUAUUAAGUUUUCCUUCUCCAGAAAGGGGGGAAGGUACUUUUUACUGUUCCUCUAUUUUAAAACUAAUUUAGGAUAAAAAAACCCCUUACAAUAUAGAAACAAUUUAUGUUGAACAGGGAACACUGAUAUUUAAUAUGAAAUUGAAAAGUAUUUUUAUAUAAGGCAUGACAGUUAUGGAAACUCAUAUGAAUCUUUGUCAUGGACUUAAUCUUUACUGUGAGAACACCUGAAUGCAUUACAUGUCACCCUGUAACUUCUCAUGUGUGAGACUGAUGAUGCUGAGCUUUUGUUAAAAUUAAAAUAUUUUUUGACAAGCGG